rnacentral:lncRNA from 1 species
CAAUGUGUUGUCAUCAUCAAAAACUAGAUUGAUAUAGAAAUUGUGUUCUCAACAAUCUCAACAGUAAAGUCUUUAUCACAAUUCUAUCACAACCAACAAUCAUCUAUGCAUAAUACGACGAUAACAACUAUUACAAUAACCCCUCAAUCAUUCCUUUAAUCAGAAUAAGUACCAACCUAUUAGCUCUGAAUCACUAUUGAGCAAAGGCAAUUUGUCCUUAUACAAACCAUCUUUAUUGUCAUAUGUCAACUUUCAUACUUCAUCGCUCAUUCUUGUUUACCAUAACGAGUCGAUUCGAGUGGUUCUCCCGCAGCUUCGAAUUUGUCUCCCCUACUCCAACUAUUCACCUCAGCACAAG